AGCCGAAACGCUCCCACCGUGGAGCGUCCGCGCCGGGUGCCGCCGGUACGCUGAUGAUGGCAGGCAGAA
rnacentral:hammerhead_ribozyme from 1 species